rnacentral:rRNA from 1 species
AGAACGAACGCUGGCGGCAUGCCUAACACAUGCAAGUCGAACGCUCUUGGGGCUUCGGUCUCAGGGGAGUGGCGCACGGGUGAGUAGCGCGUGGGAACCUGCCCUGUUGUGGGGGAUAACCGAGGGAAACUUCGGCUAAUACCGCAUAAGCCGGUUGUCUUGAAGGAGAUGGCCGGGAAAGAUUUAUCGCGACAGGAGGGGCCCGCGUCGGAUUAGCUAGUUGGUGGGGUAACGGCCCACCAAGGCGGUGAUCCGUAGCUGGUCUGAGAGGAUGAUCAGCCACACUGGGACUGAGACACGGCCCAGACUCCUACGGGAGGCGGCAGUGGGGAAUAUUGGACAAUGGGCGCAAGCCUGAUCCAGCAAUGCCGCGUGAGUGAUGAAGGCCUUAGGGUUGUAAAGCUCUUUCGCCCGCGACGAUGAUGACGGUAGCGGGAGAAGAAGCCCGGCUAACUUCGCGCCAGCAGCCGCGGUAA